rnacentral:rRNA from 1 species
UUUAUGGAGAGUUUGAUCCUGGCUCAGGAUGAACGCUGGCGGCGUGCCUAAUACAUGCAAGUCGAGCGAACGGACGAGAAGCUUGCUUCUCUGAUGUUAGCGGCGGACGGGUGAGUAACACGUGGAUAACCUACCUAUAAGACUGGGAUAACUUCGGGAAACCGGAGCUAAUACCGGAUAAUAUUUUGAACCGCAUGGUUCAAAAGUGAAAGACGGUCUUGCUGUCACUUAUAGAUGGAUCCGCGCUGCAUUAGCUAGUUGGUAAGGUAACGGCUUACCAAGGCAACGAUGUAUAGCCGACCUGAGAGGGUGAUCGGCCACACUGGAACUGAGACACGGUCCAGACUCCUACGGGAGGCAGCAGUAGGGAAUCUUCCGCAAUGGGCGAAAGCCUGACGGAGCAACGCCGCGUGAGUGAUGAAGGUCUUCGGAUCGUAAAACUCUGUUAUUAGGGAAGAACAUAUGUG